GAUGAACGCUGGCGGCGUGCCUAAUACAUGCAAGUCGAGCGAACAGACGAGGAGCUUGCUCCUCUGACGUUAGCGGCGGACGGGUGAGUAACACGUGGAUAACCUACCUAUAAGACUGGGAUAACUUCGGGAAACCGGAGCUAAUACCGGAUAAUAUAUUGAACCGCAUGGUUCAAUAGUGAAAGACGGUUUUGCUGUCACUUAUAGAUGGAUCCGCGCCGCAUUAGCUAGUUGGUAAGGUAACGGCUUACCAAGGCAACGAUGCGUAGCCGACCUGAGAGGGUGAUCGGCCACACUGGAACUGAGACACGGUCCGACUCCUACGGGAGGCAGCAGUAGGGAAUCUUCCGCAAUGGGCGAAAGCCUGACGGAGCAACGCCGCGUGAGUGAUGAAGGUCUUCGGAUCGUAAAACUCUGUUAUUAGGGAAGAACAAAUGUGUAAGUAACUAUGCACGUCUUGACGGUACCUAAUCAGAAAGCCACGGCUAACUACGUG
rnacentral:rRNA from 1 species